ACCUACGGGAGGCAGCAGUGGGGAAUCUUCGGCAAUGGACGAAAGUCUGACCGAGCAACGCCGCGUGAGUGAAGAAGGUCUUCGGAUUGUAAAGCUCUGUUAUUAGGGAAGAAAGGUAGUAGUAGGGAAUGACUAUUAAUUGACGGUACCUAAUGAGAAAGCCACGGCUAACUACGAGCCAGCAGCCGCGGUAAUACGUAGGUGGCAAGCGUUGUCCGGAAUUAUUGGGCGUAAAGAGUGCGUAGGCGGUCUGUUAAGUUCCAUUUGAAAGCCCAUGGCUUAACCAUGGAGGGUGAUGGGAAACUGGCAGACUUGAGUACAGGAGAGGAAGGUGGAAUUCCACGUGUAGCGGUGAAAUGCGUAGAUAUGUGGAGGAACACCGGUGGCGAAGGCGGCCUUCUGGCCUGUGUCUGACGCUAAGGCACGAAAGCGUGGGUAGCAAACAGGAUUAGAUACCCCAGUAGUCC
rnacentral:rRNA from 1 species